GAGUACCCAGAGAGCUGAGUUGCUGCUUUCUGCUGGAAAUUACUAAGUGGGGCCAAAAUGUGGACCUAUAAAUUACUAAUUACAAAGAUCUUACAGACCAUCCUGGAAUUGACUGCUUAUGAUUGCUUUGGAAACCUCACCGCUUUUUGCCUCUGCACCACCAAGCAGUGACAGACUGAUGUUUUGGGGCAGUCUCACCCCCUUCAUUCCAGAAGGUGUUCCUUCAUUCCAGAAGUGCUGUUCCUGCCCACUGUCCUGUCUGAAGCCAAGCAUACUCCUUGCCAAGGAAUAAAUUCUGAUAUUAUCAC